AAAUCAUAUACGAAAAUCAAAUCAGUUAAAAAUUAAAAAGUUAAACCUUACCCGUCCUUAAGCAUAGUCCUUACCCGUUAAGCAACAUGCGCAAGUGCGGCCGACAAAAAGGCGUCAGCAACACACUCACACACAGACAGUUGAAAACCAUGCAAACCAUUCCCGUGACGCACAACGAUAAGUGUGGUGUAGGCAUUUUUCAAGAAAGGUAGCACGGUGGCAAGAAAAAAAAUGGAAAAAUAUGAAAUAAAAUUACCAAGGUAAAUUUGAAUAUAAAUGCAGGAACAAAUUUAAUAUGUUGCAGUGGUAUAGCAGAAAUGAGUUCUAAUCGCUUCAGACUUGAAUAGCAUACAUCGUGAAAUGCCCUGAAAUUUGGGAACUUUUAAAAUUGAAAUGCGAUCUACAAUUUCUGCAGCGAUGGAAUAUUUAAACGCAAAUGAAUUCCCAAUUGAUUUAUACUACUAAUUAAUUACCUUUGAUGUCUAUACAAUAACGGUACAAUAUUGUGUUAAUGGCGUAACGGAACUUUUGGGAAAAUAUGGUGCUUACUUCUGGGAAUUUUUCC
rnacentral:sRNA from 1 species